UAUUCCCUACUAUGAGUAACGAUCGCUAUCAGGUGUACAUGAUAACAACCGAGACCGACGGCUUAACGUGCUCUCCGAGGCACGGUGGGGAGACC